UAGACCUGAAUGUAUAUUUAAUGUUUCAAAUGUUUGCUUAAUAGAGUAGCUUACACAGAAUAUUUUGUCAUUUUAAAGGCAUAUAUACAUGUGUUUACCCCAUCAGAACCUUAUUUCUGAGAAAAUAAGGACUUCUUGCUAAGCCCUGCAGGGAAAUGAAUGUAUAUAAUCUUGUCAGAUGAAAAGCAGACCAGACUUCUGGGUUAACCCUAGUCUGUUAGUUACUUACUAAGUUAUCUCAGGUAACUGAUUUCUUCUUGAUUCUCACACUUCUUCACCUUCAAAAUGAAUAUAAUCAUAGUAUCUACCUCAGAAGAUGGUCAUAAGGAUUUCUGGAGUUAAGCUGCAUAAAUAUACUCAUAAAAUGGCAGACUCCAGGAAUUUCAAAAAUAGUAGCAAUGCUUAUUAUUAAUUGCUUAUAACAAUUCAGUAUAAAAUGCAGAGCAGAUAAAAAAAUGAAAAUUAAAGAAAAUUAUGACUGAGGCCAGAGAGCUGGUACCUAGAGAGGUCAACCUAAUAAUUCAUAACCUUGAUAUUUCUAGCCAAAGACUGGUGGGCUUGCUGUGUCUACUGGAGCCAAGCUGUGUCUACUGGAGCCAAGCUACUGGUUUGCUUCAUGAAACCAAAGGUGCCAUCAGGGUUGGGCCACUUUAGCCCCACCUUGAGACACCUGCCUAUCUGAUGCUGUCCAUCUGCAAAUUGAAGGAAGUUGAUCCUAUCAUAGAAGAGAAGAAGCAUCAGAGGGCCAAAGGGUAGUAUUAAAAAACUCACUUCCUUGAAUGGUAAAAUAAUACUCUUUCUAAACACUAUCCUUCACUAGUAAGUUUGCUUUUUUUAAAUAAUAGUAAUUAUUAUUAUUAUUUAGUUUGUUUUAAUCAAGUCCCAAAUACCUGGGUUCUCCCAACCAUUUGCCUUGAUUUUUGCCUUUAUUUCUCUACCACUAUUCCUACCAGGUCCCAGGCAUCACCAAUUUCAUGUUUAAAUUAUCUGUCACCCAUAUCCUAGUUCCCCUAUGAUUCAUAUGCCAGGCAACACACACAUCCAUAGUACACAAUCAACUAAUGCAGGUUAGUUAAAGCUGCGGGUUGUGUAAUCCAUUUCUCAACAUGAUAUACACUGUAAAAAGGCAACAGCAGUAAAGGGGUGGAAGUUGAUUUAAGAGGCUCCUCGGGCAACAACAGUCACAAUUUUCAAAUGUGCCAAAAAUUCAUUAGGGUUCCAUGUCAGAUUGCCGUAAUCUCUGUAGCAAUAGAUUAAUAAAUACAGUAAUGCGUUGUUCUGGAGGCUGCAAUGACACAUUGUGGAUAUUCUGUAUAAGUGGUGUCUUCCCAUGAUCAUAUUCUUCUCUUGAGGAAUUAUCUGUUUCCUGAUUUGUCUUAAUGAUACUUGAAGGACUUUGCAAACAACCUGCCUAGGGUAGAAAAUGUUGAAAUAAAUCAUAGGAGCCAUCAACUACAGUCCAAGCUUGGUGAGCUCUCCAAAGACAUUUGAUACAGAAGAUGCAGGAAAAUGUCAGUACUUAUAUUUAUGUCCUACAGCUAACUAAUUUCAUGCUAAUUUCAUUUCUAUACUGUGAUUCUUCUUUCUACCUGUGCUGAUAGAUGGAUUUCAUGAGUUAAUUCUCCAGUUUCCGAUGCAGGCAGACUGGACAUAAAUCCCAGGGUUUUGUAGAAGAGACAGUUCUUCCAUGCUACUUAUUAUCAGCACAAGCACACUGCAGCCUUGGCUUAUUUAUCAAGAUAUUGCUACCAUUCUACAUGCUUUCCAAGUUUAACCUACCUACUUUACAAUAGCUUUUCAUGGGAGGUGCUUUACAAAUUUUGUGGUUUAUUACUUUUAUUAGUUUUUUUAUUAUUUUUAUUUCUCCAGGUCUGAUUGGGAAAAGACUUUGGGCUUCUUCCUCCUUUUUUUUUUUUUUUUCUUUUCUUUCUUUUUUUUUUUUUUUUUCAAAGCAUACCCAGAGAACAGGACAAGGAAAUUAGCCAAGGCUUACUGCUUCAGAAUAAACCUCGUGGGACAGAUUUAUUUGGGCAAGGUUGGCAAUCCAUGGGUUUCCCAUCUGUGUGUCCUAGGAAUGGUGGAGUAAACAUUGGCUCCCUGGGUUUUCUCUGGUGUGUCUAAUUUAUAGAUUUCCAGCUUGAAAAAGGGUUGAUCAUGGAAAAAGAUUCUCUGCUUUAAAAAAAAAACAGACCUUAAAUAUAAGGAUUCCAUAGUAAUAUUUAUCGAGCAGUUAUGAUGUAUUAGACACUGUGUUAUAUUAUUUAAUCUAAUCCUCCUAACAGGUUUAUGGAUUAGUAACUAUUUUUAUCCCAAUUUCACAAAGAAGGAAGCUGAGGUUUAAGCUGCUUGUAUCACUUCUCCCACUUUCUCACAGCUGGUGGAAACAGAAUUCCAACCCACACAGAUGAACCCCAGGGACCAUGUUCUUAACCACCACAUCCUGGCUGUCUUUAAUGUUAAUCCUUGUUAAUUCUCUGUUCCUUUCUCUCUCCAAGCUUCAUUAUAGGAAUUACCUCUUUGAUGCCGAAUUUUCAUUCUAUUUCCUGGGGACUGAUCUCACUUGGUGACCCUGGCACAAAGACAGCACCUGUUUGACUUAGUCAACUUUGAUUCUACAAUGUACUACCUUAAACAAGCAACUCCUAUAUAACUGUGGCCUGCCCUUUUGGGCAGGGGAGGACAAUUCUAGUGAAUUGAUUUAGUAUUCUGGUCUUCAGUAAGCAUAUUAUCAGUUAUUGAGUAUCCAUAACAAAAGAUACUUGGUAAUGGCAAAUGAUAAGGCCUAUUUAACUCCAGCUGGCUGGAGAAUUGUAACAGAAUGUGGCAGAGACUAUUUCCCAAUAGCAAUUCUCCCCUUCUUCUCUGGUAACAUAAUGUCUAAUUUUUAAUGAUAUAACUGGUUCCCCAAAUGAAGACUGCAUUUCUGAUACUUCCUUUGAGCUACAUACAGUCAUAUGAUUACCCUCUAGCCAAGGGGAUGUGAGAAGAAGCAACACAGUUUGUGGGUUAUGCUGAUAAAGCAAGAAUUAUGUUCUCCUCUUCCCCUUUUUCUCCUUCUGGAUGACUAGAAUGUGAAAGUGGGAGUGUGCUAUCUCAGACUGUUCAGAAAGAGCAGCAAUGCCAUAGGAAAUUCAGAGCAACGGGUAGAAGUUGCUGAGUCUUGAUGUGGUGUGUGUACUGCCUAUCCUCAGACUGUUACAUGAGAAAGAAGCAGUGUACAAUGCUAACUUAUUUGGAGUAAGAUAAUGCCCUAACACAAGAAGGUUAAUCUAAUUCAAGUCUUUCCCAUUGUUUUUAGAAUCUUUUUUCUAAUCUAUAAAGUAGACCAAGAAGAACAUUGAGAAAAGAGAAAAUUUUUGAAAAAAUACAAGUUAUAUUGGAUCUAGGAGAGUAGAUGGAUAUUUUUAAGGAAAAAGCAUUUUUUCCCCAAAUAGGCCCAAAAUAUCAAGAUGAGAAGUAUACAUAUUUUAUCAAUCACUUGGAUUCUAGAUGUUUAAUCAGCAUGAUGUCAAAUCUCAACUAACAGAUGAUCAAGUCAGUCAUCAUGGUAUUUCAGUUAUGUUUCAACAAGUAGCAGAAAUAUGAACACCAACAAAUUCUAUAAAUUGUACCACGGCACUGCUUUUAAAAUUUCAUUGGGCAGAAGACUCAUCUGGGAGUCUUGUUAGAUAUGCAUAUUUCUUGGUCCUACCCUAGAUUUGUGUGUGAAGCCUAGAAGCCUUUUUAUGAAUCAACCAGGUGACCCUCUGGAUCACAAGAGCCUCAAAAGCUAUAAGAUAUGGAAGCUUGCAAGGAAUAUUGAUAAUAAUGAUAGCAAUAAUUAUAAAAAUAUUAAAUCACUCACUGACAUAUCUAGACCAGUAUUUCACUAAAUACUGCAAAUAAAAAUAAUAUCUAAAAUGAAUUAUGUGCUCAUUAUGUUAGGCACUAUGAAAAUCUUUGACACUAUUUCAUUUAAUUUUCAAAAUAAAAAGGCAUUCUUUACUAACUAUUCUCAUUUUUCAGAUGAAAACUGAGGUUUGGUAGAUUUAGAUGGACUUACACAAAAUCUAAGCUAAAAAGUGGCAGAACUGGGUCUCUUCUCCAGAGUCUAAGACCUUAACUCUUGGACACUAAGGUUGCUCAUCAUUCUUAGCAUUGUCAUGGGUCAGAGGGAAAAACCACAGUCAAAAUUUAUUCAAGUAAGUACAGUAGUGAGUACAAAUGUUAUGUGUGUACCUGCCAUUUGCAGGAUAUCAUAUAGGACCUAUGGAAAAAAUGAUUUCAGGGAUUAAAAGAAAAGGAAGAGCAUUAAAAAAUAUGUGUUCUGAGUUUAAAGACCAAGGUUUUUAAAAAUUCAUCUUUUUAAAAGUCAUCUUAGCUUUUACACACACACACACACACACACACACACACAUUUUAAAGAGGUAAAAUGUUUUCAGUAGGUUUCCAAGACUGUGCUGGCUCUACACUCAAAAUUUUAAAUUAAUUAUCAUUUAAUUCAAAAUCUUUUGGUGAAUUGUUUUAUUUUUUAUAAUUUAAUUUUAUUGCAUUUUUUGGGUCUAUACUUGGCUAAGUUGGGGUUUGCAUUUUUCAGUUUUGUCUGUUUUUGUCUCUAUCUAUAUAUAUAUGUAUAUAAGACUGUGUCUGUUUAUGCCACACAUGUGCCCACACACACAUACACACAAAUAGAAAUCAUUUAUAUAUGUACUUCCACAUUUAUUAUCACAGCUGUCAAUCUUCAUAUUGAGAGGAACCAUGAUGUGGAUUAUAAAUUCAUGUUAACAUGAAUACUUGUGGGUUUUCUUAAUUCAAAAUAAUACUUACAUAAGCAAGACACCAGCAUAUAUCAAAUCUUAACUGGGUCCUUAAUUACAACAGGAAGUUAAACAAAGAAAUUAACAUGCAAAAUGUUACAUUUAACUGAAAGACAUCAAUAUAUCUCAUGCUUUUGUUUUAUAUCAAGAAUUUUUAACCAACAGUACUACUCAGGAGAGAAAAAAAGUCUCCAUUUCAAAAAAAUAAAAUAAAAAUGCUAAAAUUAAA